UACGGAGGGUGCAAGCGUUAUCCGGAUUCACUGGGUUUAAAGGGUGCGUAGGUGGGCAGGUAAGUCAGUGGUGAAAUCCUGUAGCUUAACUACAGAACUGCCAUUGAUACUAUCUGUCUCGAAUACCCUGGAGGUGAGCGGAAUAUGUCAUGUAGCGGUGAAAUGCUUAGAUAUGACAUAGAACACCCAUUGCGAAGGCAGCUCACUACGGGAAUAUUGACGCUGAGGCACGAAAGCGUGGGGAUCAAACAGG
rnacentral:rRNA from 1 species